rnacentral:rRNA from 1 species
UAUCUCUGUAGAGUCUGCAUAUCAAUAAGCGGAGGAAAAGAAACUAACAAGGAUUCCCUUAGUAACGGCGAGUGAAGCGGGAAGAGCUCAAAUUUGAAAUCUUCAAGGUUCUACCUUGACGAAUUGUAGUUUAAAGAAGUGUUUUCUGUUAGAUGAGUAGCAAAAGUUCCUUGGAAUGGGACAUCAUAGAGGGUGAGAAUCCCGUAUUUGGUUAUUCAUUCUAGCUUUGUGAUACACUUUCAAAGAGUCGGAUUGUUUGGGGAUGCAGUCCAAAAUGGGUGGUAAAUUUCAUCUAAAGCUAAAUAUUGGCGAGAGACCGAUAGCGAACAAGUACCGUGAGGGAAAGAUGAAAAGAACUUUGAAAAGAGAGUUAAACAGUACGUGAAAUUGUCAAAAGGGAAGCGUUUGACACCAGUGUUGUUUUUCCGAAAAUCAAUUACGAAUGGCUUGAUUUUGUGUUGUAUUGACCUAUCAGCUUUCUUCACUUUUUUCGAGUCUUUCUUAAUGCACUUUUCGGUUAACAAGUCAACAUCAAUUUCUUUUGUUGUAAAAGAGUAUUCGAAGGUGGCUUUCUUUUCGGAGAAAGUGUUUAUAGCCCUAUACUUCUACAAUCGGAGAGAUUGAGGUCUGCAGCGUAGAUCCUUCGGGGUUAGAUACAUUUGUGCUAAGUUGUAGCUUUUCAUAGACAACUUGUUGACUAUGUUUAGUCAUGCGGCUUACUCGCUUAGUGCUAUUUUACCUACGCUUAGGAUGUUGACUGAUAUGUAGUCGUA